rnacentral:misc_RNA from 1 species
GAUGAAGAACGUAGCGAAAUGCGAUAAGUAAUGUGAAUUGCAGAAUUCAGUGAAUCAUCGAAUCUUUGAACGCACCUUGCGCCUUUUGGUAUUCCGAAAGGCACACCUGUUUGAGCGUCAUGAAAACCUCAAUCUCCAUCUUUUCUUCGGAUUGAUGGGUGACUUGGAUGUUGAGCCCUGCUGGUAUGCUAUAUCAGCUGGCUUUAAACUUAUUAGCCGGCUCUGUACUGGAUCGGUUUGACUCGACGUGAUAAUAUUAUCGUUGAGGAUGCAUGUCUCAUGCAGCCGGAAAGUAUCAAAGCAGCUUCUAGCUUGCCUUUAGUGCACUUUUACAUUUUAGACCUCAGAUCAGGUGGGACUACCCGCUGAACUUAAGCAUAUCAAUAAGCGGAGGA